CUUCGGUAACUUAGAAAAGGCAUGGCACUGAGGUUAUGCCCACUCCCAACCAUCACUACUGCUGCUCCCCUACCCUCCAGCAGCAACAGCCUUGGUCUUGAAUAGCAGCUGCUUCCCAUCGCUUCCUGUCUUCUGGGAACCCAACUCCCAGUUGUCUAUUCUCUCCUUCUAGUACUUGUGUUGCCCCGACCCCAUGAAAGAAGAGGCAGAACCCAAGAGAAGAGAGAGCACAUUGGUCGGGAGGCAGCCAUGUGAAACUUUGUGGGCAUGAACUAUAACUGCUGCUGCUGCUUUGCUUACCCGUGCUAUACAACCAGGCCUGCCUCUCACUGCCUAGCAUGCAUGUAUGGCACGAUGUUUGUUUAUUCAUUUAUUGCAAAACAAAAAUUAAAAAACAAUUCUUCA